GUGAAUCAUCAAAUCUUUGAACGCAUAUUGCACUCUCUGGUAUUCCGGAGAGUAUGCCUGUUUGAGGGUAAUUAAACAUUCUCUUUAACCAAUUUUUUUGGUCAAAGCAUAUGUGUUCUCCGCGUUUAUAGCGACAGCUUGAAAUAAAUGGUAAAGUCGCCUUUUAGUCGAGACGCUUAAUACUAUUAUUUCGCGAGA
rnacentral:misc_RNA from 1 species